UGGUUGUCGUCAGCUCGUGUCGUGAGAUGUUGGGUUAAGUCCCGCAACGAGCGCAACCCUUAACUUUAGUUGCCAGCAUUCAGUUGGGCACUCUAGAGUGACUGCCGGUGACAAACCGGAGGAAGGUGGGGAUGACGUCAAAUCAUCAUGCCCCUUAUGACCUGGGCUACACACGUACUACAAUGGUCGGUACAACGGGAAGCGAAGCCGCGAGGUGGAGCCAAUCCUAAAAAGCCGAUCUCAGUUCGGAUUGCAGGCUGCAACUCGCCUGCAUGAAGUCGGAAUUGCUAGUAAUCGCGGAUCAG
rnacentral:rRNA from 1 species